AGCUCAGGUGGACAGGCAUCCUUAGAGGCAGCCCUGCCUAUGGCCCUGGAAGGGGCUUCCUCAAGGGAGACCCAAGCAGCAGCUUCGUGGGCAGUGCUGGAGCCACCUCUGUUACUCCACACACUUCCCUGGCCAAACACCAUAAACACACAAAGGGACAGAGCUGGGAGGUUUGAGCCAUCAGGAAGGGGAGAGGAGCAGUGGGCAUGAAAGAGAAAGAACUGGCAUCUCCCCCUCACCCCCCAAGGCUAGAGCGUUGUCAUUUUCUGAACUUAGGCCUCCCCAGCGGUCUCAGGGGUGAAACACUCAAGAGAGAAGUAUUGCCCUGAAGGUCACAUUCACAGCCACCCCAGGCACACAGGGCUUCCUGUUAGGAGCUCUGCUCGGCGGUCCUGAGGCCGGAGUGCAAAAGCAGUUAGGGUGGGAUGACUUCAGAAUUGAGAGGACUUGGGACCAUGAGGCUGCCUCUCUUCCAAGCCUGAAGACCCCCGACUCCUGCACUCCCCUUACCCCCAUACUCAGAAGGGACCUCUCACAGGAGCUCUGUACAACGAACAUGAAUUUAGCCUCAGCAGCCCAG
rnacentral:lncRNA from 1 species